GGCAUAUGACCAAUAAGAACCUACCUAGCAAAAGAGCGUUUAUUUUUUAGUAUUAGCCUAUACAUGUAAACAUAAUAAGACUAACUCCCUAUUUACUUUGAUGGAUUAGAGCUUUGAAAUCUCCCUUGAUGAUAACCCAUCAUUUAAGCUUGUUUUGCUUGAUUCAUAUUCCAUUGAAAAGGUAAGAUAGUAGAAAUCAGUCUUAAGGAUAGAAAUAUUCAAUCAUAUACAUCUUAUCAAUCAUGCUAAGUUAACAGCAUCAUGUUAGGUUUAUAUGAAAACCGAGCAGCCUAACAUGCUUACAAUAUAAUUGUGUUUUUGUACAAUACAUACCUAUUCAUAUGGUUAUUUUAUCUGUAUUGUUCGGUAACCAGAUUGUAUAAUUGAAAUGUGGAAUUUGUAUAUUUACAUGACCCUCAAAUUAAGUAAAACGACUACAUGUGUAAAAGGAGCUAAAUUUCUUCGUAGAUCAUUAACGUAAUCUAAUUUUCAAUCUUAAUCCCCUUCAUUAAACCAUAAUCUUGACUAUAAGCAUCGGAAGAACAUUUACCAGUUAUUAGAUGGUUGUAGAACCAAGAGGCUGAGGAAGUGGAGAUGGAUN
rnacentral:lncRNA from 1 species